UCUUAUAUGUUUCCUUGACAACUCGAUCUGUUCUCGUCUCUCAUUUUCCUUUCUAAAUAUAGGCCGUGCACACAAUACACCCACAUGCAGCCACCGAGCUUCCUCAGCGAGUGCAUUUUAAUCGAUUUUCGCCCUGAAGAGUCUUUCUUUCCGUGGUGGCACAUUUCCAUUUUCAACAAUACAAACUCGAGAGCAAACUUCCACUCGGAAAGCGAAAGCACCGGGCCGCUUGCUUUUCAGUCGUUGCUCUGGUUUCGGUAUUAAUGAAUGCAGCAGCACAGCGGCGGCGGCCGCGGCCGCGGCGGAGGAGGAGAAGACGGAGGGGCGGCUGGGGGCCGUGCGCCUUUGAGUGAGCACCACAACAUUCAGUCGCUCACUGGCAUCAAGCGCGAUCAGCUGUUGGCCCAAACUGGCAUUUACCUGAGUCGCUGCGCCAAAGGCACCCACGCACCCGUCAAAGGCCCGCCUUAGUUAACUCCAAACCAAAAUGGCUCAUCCCUGCAGAGGAAUGAUCGCCGCCAAGAAGAUGGUGCCGGCCGUGCUGCCUCCGAGCACCCCGGCCAAGAUGUUCGCGCCGCUGAGGGGCGAGAGAGGCUCGUGGCAUCGCAUCUUCCGGCUACCGCAGCUGCUGCUGAGCACCGUCUGCUAGACCAUCAACCAACCAACCAACUCAAACACACACACACACACACAACAAGCCUAGAGAUGUAGUCCUGACAGCAGAGAGCCAGAAAAGAAAAUGAAGUUACCUCCUCAUCUUCUAAACUUUAAGCUUAAGUCGCUGAUGCGGGCGGAUUCCUCAUUGAAGCUGGAGGCGUGCGAAGAGAGAAGCAAUAAAAUCCAAAUUUUUUCACGAGAAGAGAGGUAUUUUUCAAGAGAGGAAUCAAUCGAGCGAUCGAUGUGUUGCAUUUUCUUCGGGUGAUACUUACAUGCCUUUUUUUGGCUUUCGCGUGGCACACGGCACGAAUUAUGCAAAUCGGGGUAGUUUUCACUUCUUAUUAAAAUAAAAUUUGAUUUUCUCGCACUUAAAAGGGAAAGCCCCCUCAAGUAACACAAAUCAUUAUGAUAAGUAUAGUAAAAAUUUAAGGAAUUUUUUGUUCAAAAUUUUGUAUUCCCUUCAGGGCGUUUAGAUCCCUUGAAUUGUUUUUUUUAAACUGAGUUAAAAUCCCUUUUACGCUGAAUUGCAGUUGCGUUCUUAACUCUCAAGGGAGCCAGAAAUAAAGCGAACUCAGCAAGGAUUUUGCAAUUUAAAAAUUAAAUUACGGCAAAAAAAUAUUGGAUAUAAAAACUCUCAUUUACGUUACUUUUUGGACGCUUGCUAAAUUUUGCAAGCCUCUUAUAUUUGGAAAAUGUUUCCUUUUGUUUGUCCAAUAUUGACAUGAAAUUAGAAAAACCCAAUGAAAAAACAGCUUUUUCGUAAAGUUUUCUUGCUGUAAACAUCGCUAUAACACCUCUGCAAAUGGUAGUCCAUUAUCAUAAAAAUUUAUGGCUACUCCAAUUCCCUUUUUCGUUUCAUUUAUUUUUCUUGUGAAUGCCCUCCUCAGUAUGUGCGAUUAAACUUUAAAUUUAUUCAAACAUUUAAUUAACUUUCACGUCCACCUCCUCAUUUGCUACCGACUCUUUUUUCCCCGUAAUUUCACGUGUGUGCCAUGCGUUUGCUCGCCCCGGCCCCGCCGUGCACUAUUGGUUCUAAUUAAAGACGCUCCGCCGCGUUUGCCACGUGCACGUUCGCACCCCAUUAUCUGGAGCGAACGCGUUCGAAUCCAAUAUCCGUUCAAUCAAUCGCUAAUAAAAUGCUAAUCGUGUGUGAUGCUUUUUGCCGGAAUGCUUUCGGCGCGGAUGCUGCGCUCGUGUGAUUAAACCUCCUCAAGCCUCGGCGGCAUUCCGCCCGCAAAAGCUGCUGCUGCUGCGGCAUUACUUCCAUUUGGAGGCGCGUACUCGAAUAUCAUUUCAAUGAGAAAAUGCCUAACCGCCGUGUCCUCAAAGGGCGGUUUCGUUUUCAAACUCCAGAGGCGCAGAUCUCAUUUCGCUCGUUUCACCAUAGCACCAUGUCAAUUUUAACCGAAUUACUUCUCUAAUUAAACAAUUAUCGAGAGUGCGGCAGUAUAUAGCUGUUGUAUUAUUGCGUUAUAACCGACUUUUAAAGCGAUUAGCUCCAAACCUGUGAGUAUACCCUUAGGAAUUGACAUGCAAAGCGUGCUGCGCUGCGAACAUCCGAGUCUUGUAAUAAAUAAUUGCUUUACAAGUAUGCGCGCGCCUGUAAUUGUCUGUCAAUAACGAAGCAAGAGAUAAUAAUUAAUGUGAAAGCAGAAUCGGUGUGUGGGAUAAUAAAGAACUCGUUAAGUACGUAAUCUAGGACGAAAAAUCGCUCUUGUAAAAAUUAUAGCUGUGCCGUUUGCAUAUGAGUAACUCAAGACCCAGUCUAGUCAAAGGAGGGGUGGUCACCGGUCAAGCUUGGUCAAGUCUCACAAUCAAAUAUAAAAAUUUAGUUUGAAACACAAUGAGUCUUGGAGACUAAUAAUACAAUCUUUUAGGAUAUUUUUUUUUUAAAUUUACAUUACCGAAUGGAUCAGUUCUGCUUGGGUUUUUUCGAUAGCAAUUUAAACAGGAGACUUGCUAACUGGAUCCGGUUCAAAUCCCUUUCAGACUUGCAGCAUAUCCCAACAAAAUGUAAUUAAAAUAAAACGCAAACCUAGGCCGCAAUAAUUCUCCUAGGACUGGAUGAAAGAAUGUGUUUUGUAAUGAUUUCCAAGCAUUAUUCAGCAUGAUUUGAGCGCGAGAGGCUUUUCGGAGUUGUUAUCUCAGGUUCCGUGUAUUAACGCAGCGAUGACAACCUCUAUAGGAGUCAGGAUUAUGUCUGAGCAUCAUGAUUUUCCUUUUCCACGUUGACAUAUGUUGUGUAUUUUCCCCGUACAAAAAAGCUCCGAAAGCACAUAGGACUUCAAUUUCACGCAUCUCCGCUAAAGCGAGUUGUUUUUUUUUCCACCUUUCUCUUGCUCCACCAUAUUUCACGGUUGAUUUAGUUGGUUUUCUUCCGUGGAUCGUUCGAAACCACGAAGAGUUGCUUUCAAAGAGGCUGUCUUAUCAUCUAGGGGAGUAAUUUAAAUAAUGAUAAAAUAUAAUAUAUAUCGUAUUAUAAUGUACGCGUGUAAUUCCUACCGAGAGAAAAGAAACAAUUAAAAUAUAUGUACGUGUAUCCCCAGUGAAUUGAAUCCAUUUCAUUGCAUGCACUCUUCCACUUUUGAAAAAGAUGAAAAUAAGCCUUCUUGUAUUCACUCAUUGUUCUUUUUCGUGUGUAAGAUUAUCAUUACGAGCUAUUGUAAACAUGAAAAGAAGACAAGAGGGAUAGUCAGUGUAGUCACUUUAAUUUCAUAAAAAUAAUCAAAGUGUUGAAUAUGUAAUAAGGCAUUGUCUUGUUGAAAUAAUAUAUUUAUGAUUAUAUUUUAGCUGAUGGACAAACAAUAAAGAAAAAUUGAAACACGAGUAA